GAAGUUGCAAAGUGAACUGCUUGUGAGUGAGAAAAAAAACUCAGUUUUCUCGUGGAAAACUCAAGAAAAACAGCAGAAAACCCGUUCAAACGCACACCAAAAAAGGCAUUUCACCCAGCAAAACGCACGGAUACUGCGAAAAUGUGAAAGAUUCGUCAUUUAUCAUCGAAAAAUGUCCUAAAACGGAGCAAAUAAUUGAAAAAGGACUCGAAACGAGAGACAAUGAAAUAUUAUUAAAACAAAAAUUAAACAGGCAGCGUGUUUUUCAAAAAAAAAUAAAAAAAAAAUCAAAAAAGUGAAGAAAAUUAAAAAAUUUAACAAGUUAGUGCGAGAAAACAGACAAAAAUGCCAUUGCCAAAAAGGACGAUCGAGCCGGUGUUUGUGGCACGAUCGGUUUACGCACAAAAUGAGCUGCCAUCGGACUUGGAAGCUGUCACUAACACCACGUUAACCAACAUUGUCAGGCAAUUGUCAUCGUUGUCGAAACAUUCCGAGGAUAUAUUUGGAGAGUUGAAUCGCGAGGCGAAUAAUCUCGCGGAACGAGCAAAUUCCCUGCAAGCGCGCAUCGAUAGGUUAUCGAUAAAGGUGACGCAGCUCGAUAGCACGGUCGAAGAAGUGUCUCUGACGGAAAUCCAGCUGAAGAAGGCGUUCAAGAGUCAAACGGUGUUCGAUCAGCAGAUUUUCAGCAGGUCCACGAUGCCAACAGCGAUGCUCGAAACGUAUCAGCAGUGUGAUAAGCCGCCCCCGUUGGACAAAUUGAAUUGUUAUCGUGACGACGGCAAGGAUGGAUUGAAAUUCUACACAGACCCGAAUUACUUCUUCGAGUUGUGGCGACAAGAAAUGCUGAAAGACACGGAACGCGUCAAGCAGGAUCGUCGUCAUAAUCGGGCGAAGCAGCAAGGACAGCAGCUAGGCGGCGGCGCGGGCAAACAAAAGAAGCAAAAACCGCGACAACCGCACAACACGCGACAGCAGCUGCAACAACAAGCCAUCCAAUCGGGAGAAACAUUGAUGCCAAAUAAUGUGAUUUACCGCACACCGAAUACCAUAAUCAAUCCGGAAGACCCGUACGGAACGAUGCAACAAUACGCUCAACAUGCCGCCAUGCGCCCCAACUCCAUCGAGGUCCGUAGUAGUUACCAUACGGAAACUGUCGACGGCACGCAACAAUACACGAUGCAGCACACGCAUUACGCUCAAAACAACUACCAGGCCACGGGCUACGACGAGCAAUUGUAUCAGCAGCAACAGCAAAUGUACGCGGGCGGACAACAACCCGUCAGUUCGGAGAAUUUGUAUGCGCCGGGAACGCCGUCGCGUGGCAAACCUCGACCGAAUGUUCCGCCGCCAGCGCCUCCGCCAAACGGGGGAUCCGGCAAUGGCACGCCAAAUGCCUCGAAUGCGGGAACUCCGACACGCGGAAGGAGCGUUUCGAAUGCGCGCGAUGCUUUGCCGCCGCCACCGCCAAUUCCCGAAGGCAUGCAUUCGCCCCCGCAAAUGAACGGACCAUCGAACGUUGCUGCCAAGAUGCUUGGGCGCAGCAAUAGUCAUUCCAGAUCGGGAUCGCCGCAGUUGCAAUCGAACGUCAUCGAUCAGAAUGCCAUGGUGAUGGCGCAAUUAAAUAGUCAGAUUAGUAAUUUACAAAUGGGAGCUGAUUUGCCGCCUCCGCCGCCAAUUCCGCAACAGCUAUCACCCAACAAGAUGUUGUCACCAAAUAGCGUUCCUCCUCCGCCUCCUCCACCCCCGCCAAUGGAGCCCACAAUGAGUCCCAACGGGCACGUUCAAAUGGGCGGCAUGACGAACGGUGAUAUGAACAACGGAGUUCCUCCAAAUGGCGUGCUACCGAACCAGAAUCAAAUUAUUCAGGCACAACAACAAUUGCGACAUCGAAGUCCUCCAGUGAAGAAACCCAUUACACCUUACGACGACACACGAAGUGAUUUAAUGAAAGCUAUCAGAGAUGGCAUUCAACUGCGAAAAGUCGAACGACAACAUAACGAAGCACGCGAGGUGAAACCUCCACUGGAUGUCGCAUCAAUUUUAGCCAGGCGCGUUGCAAUAGAACUUUCCGAGUCCGAGUCGUCGGACAGCGAUGACGACGACGAAGGUUGGCAGGAACAAAACGAAACGUCGGCGUGACAAACAGCCGAAGCUGGAAAGCGUAAAUAAGAACCAGGAUGUGUCCUUUCAUGUUGUAAACAAAAAAAAAACAUUUUACGUUGCUACACUGCUAAACUGCUAGUACAUUUAUAUUGAGCUACUCUAAGGACUCAUCCACAUUUAUUUGAAAAAAAAAUCAAAUUUCGACCAAAAUCUGUGAAACUUCAACGCUCUAUCUAUAAUUCUAUUGCGGCCAAAAAAAAAACACACGAAACACACACCUUUGAAUGAUAAUUUUGGAAAUGCAUUGGCAAAGAGACGAAAUUUUGCUUUGUUAUCAUCCUACCGAACAAAAAUAAAAUAACUUUUGUAAUCUGCUAUGAACUAAUAACUUAAAUUAGCAUCAAAACUUUAAUCUUCUUUAGUUAAAAAAAAAAAAUUACCCAGUUUCAUUAAAUUUACUUUAAUGGUCCUGAUGAAGCCUUCAUUCGCGUUAACAAUAACAUUGAAACCAUAACUUUUGUUAAUAAUAACUUUGAUAACUUUAGAGACAAAUUGAAUCGCGAAGUUUAAUUUUGUCUUAAAUAAAUUGUUUCUCCUUUGUAACUUACCCAAAAUGUUAAUUACAAAGAUUAAUGAAACUGAUGAAGCCUUCAUUCGCGUUAACAAAAACAUUGAAACCAUAACUUGAAUUACUUUUGUUAAUAAUAACAUUGAUAACUUUAGAGACAAAUUGAAUCGCGAAGUUUAAUUUUGUCUUAAAAAAAUUGUUUCUCCUUUGUAACUUACCCAAAAUGUUAAUUACAAAGAUUAAUGAAACUGAUGAAGCCUUCA